rnacentral:lncRNA from 1 species
GUAUGAACUCCACUGAGCCCACUGUCGUAAUAAAGGUUUUUCUCCACCUCUUCAAGUGACCAUCAGAUGCUCGAGUCUUCAAAUUGCAAUAGCUGUGAUGCUGAGCUGUGACACUCUGCUGUAACACUGAGCUCUAACACUUGGCUGUGCCUCAGAGCUGUAACACUUGGCUAUAGCACUGAGCUGUUCUGCUUUGCCACAACACCCAGAGCACUGGGAUUACAGGUGUAGCCCACAUUAGCUCAGAGGGAAUGUUGUAUAUUUUUGGGGGGUACCAGGGUUUGAACUCAGGACCUUGUGCUUGUGAGGCAGGCGGUGGAACCACUGAGCUAAAUCCCCAGCCUGGGAAUGUUGUAUUAAAUCAUCACUGCCAGACCAUCAGUUUUCUCUCUGAAGAUACACACCAGGUCAUGGAGCAGAAGCGGUAAACUCACAGAGGUGCUGAAUGACCAACAAGUGACAAGAACCUGUUGAUGUGAGGUAAGAGAUGACCCUGUGAUUCAAACUGCUUCAAUCUGAAAGAUCCACUGGUCCCUGAUUACCCAGGAGGGCUGGCUCUGUGUUUAAAGAGAGACCUUUCCUCCCUAUAGCUCAUGUAUCCUGAUGACAAGCUCAACCGUGGAGAUAACCUCCCUGUGGUUUUUGUUGUCCAGUGAAGUUUAAAUUUGCUCCUCUACAUAAUGGGAGAUGUAAUAGAAGCCUUCCUAGGGCCGGGGAUUUAGCUCAGUGGUUCCACUGCUUGCCUCGCAAGCACAAGGUACCGAGUUCGAUCCCCAGUACCAAAAAAAAAAGAAAGAAAAAGAAGAAGCCUUUCUAAAAGUGUUGCAAAUUCAUUGAAAAACCACAAGCCGGCACACAUUCUCUGGGGGUUAUCUGGAAGUUACCUGCCGUGAUAGUGACUGUGGAUAGUGUGAUGGGGAGGAGAGAGGGCAUUUAAAACAGAAAGCCGGCAGUCUGAAGGAGGUGGCAGUGUGUCCCGGCAGUUCAGUCCCCCACGUCACUGUGGGGGGCUUUGCAACAGCUGAGGUGUGUGUUGGGAGAGGUUGUCCACUAGAACUUUGCACCGGUCAGAGCAAGGGGAUGAGAACUGAGACUAUGAGAUGAGAAACCCUAAGAGCGUAGUUCUCAAAGCCUUUGGUUGCAAGAUCCUGCAUUCUCCUAAACAUUAAGAAUUCCCCAAGAACUUUUGUUUUUGUGGUUAAAUCUACUGAUAUUUAUCAUAAUAGAGAUUCACAUUAAGAAAUAGUUAACUCAUGAAGUCACUUAAAAAUAAUGCUAAACGCAUUUAGGUUGACAUAAAUAUUUUUAUUUGAAAAUUACUGUAUUUUCUAAGAAUGUCAGUGAGGACAGUGAUUUUUGUUUUACAUAUUUACAAAUCUCUUUUAAUGGCUAGUGUAAUAGAUAACAAGUGGGUUUUCAAUCUGCUUUUGUUCUUUUGUUUUGUUUUUGGUACUGGGGAUCAAACUCUGGUCCUUGCGCUUACAGGGCAGGCGGCGGAACCACUGAGCUAAAUCCCCAGCCCUCAAUCUGCUUUUGCAGUCCAUUGUUACAUGCUGUUACCUGUUACGUGUUUUGGUUGAAAGAUUUAAGGAAAUUAUGGACUCAUGCUGAUUUGUAGUUGGAAAAAUUAGAAAUUUAUAGACCUCCCCGUGCAUGCUUCCUGCAGCACACAUACUAUAGAUCCCCUGAUGGGCUUCAAGGAUCCAAGAAGUCCUUCGAUAAAGCUUUGAAAAUUACUGUUUCAGAGUUCACUUAAUCAUAUUUACAAAAAAAUCUAUAACUAUGUGCAGUGAGAUUCUGAUAUUAACUUCCUAUUUUUUAAUAAGGACUUUCUUAGGCAGAUACAGCUGUGGAAAUGGAUGGCUCUGGACCAGCCUAGCCCUCUCUCUCUCUCUUUAAAUUCUGAGACAAGAUCUCACUUAGUCACUAAGUUGCCCAGGCUGGACCUAAACUUGUGAUCCUCCUACCUCAGCCUCGAAGAAUGCUGGGAUUACAGGUAUGCAGCACCCGGCAGGGCUAGUCUCUUCUUUCUUGAUGCUUUUAGGGUCUGUUGGUUCUACUCUGGAUCCUGUGUUCAUCCCUUGAUCAUUCACUUCCUUCUGUCAGAGUCUCUCUUCCUGGUGGCAGAAAGGUUUCUUGGUAUCUGUGUGCAAUCGUUCAAGGCCCUCACAACAGAAUUUCACUCAAUGGACUGUCAGGGAGAGGCUGUAUCUGCUAAAAGUUUCCUCUUCCCUUUUACAUCCAGCCAGGCUGGCUUGUGCAAACUCAUGGUUGAGCACAUUCUCUUGGCUCCAAGCUAUCUGUGCUCGCCAGCUUGUUACCUUUCUGCCCCACUGUAAUGGUGGAAUUGGGUUCAAAAUCCAGCUCACUUGUCAGGAAAAAAUUCUGUUUUUCGUUUUUUUUCUUUUUUGAAAAGCAGCUCUUGAACUAGGUUCCAGCUAAAAGCUGAUUUCUACCUAAGGUUGAUUUGUGUUUUUGUUUUGGGAAUUUUUGUUUGUUUGUUUGAGACAGGAUCUUGCUAUGUAGUUCAGGCUGGCCUUGAACUCACUGUGCAGCCCAGACUGGCCUGGAACUCAUGGCGAUCCUCCUGCCCCAGCCUCCCCAGUGCUGGGAUUACAAGUGUGCACCACCACACUCGGCCUCCACCUAAGUUUACACGUGGCUGCCACAGUGCCACAGAGUUCACUGUGGACACCCUUGCUACCGGAAGAAGUCAAGGGUUUGCCAUUUGCCCACGUAGUGCCCUCUGCUGUUCUGUGUGCACCCAAGGCAGCUGCAUAAAGUGAGAGCACCGCCCUGACAUGAGAAGGGUGUGCUGACUUGGGCUCCAUGGACAUCCGUGGCCCAGCGUCUGUGGACCGGGUCUCCCACCCAGUGUCCAUGAACUGUGUACGCCUCAGCAUCCAGGGAUUCAGUUUUACUUCUCCAAUCUGUGGUAACAUCCAUGUCCUGAAAAUCAGCCCCCCUCUUACAAUGCAUAUAAAGUAAGAGGGGCAGCCAAUGACCAGGAAGCUUUUGUUUUGUCUGAAUGAACCUGGAUCUCACAUGGAGUAAGGCUACUUCUUGACGAUGUCAGAACCCUUGUCUACCCCACCUGAGCUUCCUGUCCAGUUUUCGACUCUCGCCUGCCCUCAUCAGCUUUUCCAGGCCCUCACCACCUUUCUUUUACUUUCAAGGAAACAAAGAGUAGCAUUUUAAUUUUCCUUAAAUCGAAAAUCAGAAGUAACUUGCCUUUGUUGAUUUUCCCAAUCCAUAAAUGAUUCUGCACUAAAAGUAAAUGUUUCUCUGAAAAAUCUUAGUUGAAGAUUCAAGCAGAAAAAUCCUAUAAUAAUUGCAAUAAAAAUAAAUAUUAUUUUAACAUAAGUGUUCCAAAGACUUCAAUCUGCUAUCACAGAUAUAUGCUUUCAGUAAUCGUUUUUAAUUAUAGCUAGCUCUUUUUAUCAUAGGAGUAUACUCUAAAAUAAUCAUUAAAAUAUAAUACAUAUCGAAGCCCUCCAAAACUGUGAAAACUUGGGGAGGAUGAGGCAAGGGGGGUUAUGGGGGAGUGGAAACGAAUGUGUGUAUACAAAUCUGCCAAAAUGAAACCCAUUUACUGUAGAGCCAAUAUGCACUAAUUUUAAAAAUGUGAAAAUAGGGCCGGGGAUUUAGCUUAGUGGUUCCCCCGCCUGCCUCAGGAGCACAAGGUCCCGAGUUCGAUCCCUGGUACCAAAAAAAAAAUGUGAAAAUAAAUUUUAGUUGCAUAGAUCUUAGCUCUCACAUGAUAGCUCCUGGAGAGCUUGUUGCAAUGCUGGUUCUGAGUCAGCAGGUCUGGCUCAGGCCUGAGAAUCUGCAUUCCUUCCACUUCCCCAGUGGUGCUGGUGCCUUUGGUCCAAAGACUACAUGGAGGAUGAAGCAUUUUACCUACCUCUAACUACAAUUUCAAUUAGAGUCUUUAAAACUCUCCAAAAACUCACAUAGUGGCUAGUAAUGUUUUCCUCUUGCUACUGGGCCUUAUUUUGUAUGCAUUAUUUAUUUCAUUGUCUCCAUGUAGCUAGUGGUCUUGGAGGGGGGUUGGCUUUCUUUUUUUUCCACUCUUCUUUUUUAUUGCAUACUGGUUAUAUAAAAUAAAGGGUUUCAUUUUGGCAGAUUUGUACAUGCAAGUAACAUACUCUAUGAUUUCCCUCUCAUCACUCCCUUUGCCCUUUCCUACCCCCUGGUUUUACUUUUUUUGGGAGUGGGCUCAAGGCAUAUAAUUUAUUUUGAUCAUAUUAAUUCUAAUUAACAAUAUUUAUUAACACAAGUUUGGAAAUUUUAAAUUAAGUGCCCUGAGCUUUCAUUUACAUGAUACCCAGAAAUCAGGCCAGAGUCCGCAUCUCUAAAGCCGAUUUAGGUCUCCAUGACAAUGUCAUAGCUUUGGCAUGCUUGCUGCUAGGUAGCCUAGGAAAACUCCAGAAUAAAUACACUGACUAGGCAACUUCUGUUUGUGUUCAGUUCCUCUACUGCCAGCCUGGCAGGACCCAGCACUUACACACUCGCACAGUGCUGCGGUGGACACUAAAGACCUUUGUGGGCUAAAUCCUGUUUAGCAGCUCCUUAAGUCUUCUUUAUUGUGUGCCAUGGGUGCAUCAGAGGAACCCUUUCCCCAUCAACAGUUUCCAGUGGGAUCUUCUGCCUCCUUGAACAGCUUCGGAAGUUCUCAGGCCCAUUAUCUGAUCCAGUGUCACAUGCUCAGCUGCCCCACGCCUGUUGCCUUCUUAAGCAGCAGUGGAAAUGUUCUGGUGUCGGAACCUUUCAUUCCUUGCAUAACAGCAUGACGUCAUUUUGGCAUCCCCAUGAUUCCUUUGUCCGCUGCUGCCUUUCGUCCUUUACCACUUGGCAUGGAAGGCAUAUGAGGCUACAGAGAGACAAAGGAAUGGAAUCCCUGGGCUUUCCUUUGAAAGGAGGUGGUGCUGGUGUAAACAGGGGAGUUUGCAAGAAUAUCCAGCUGUCAACUAAGUUUUCCUCCACAGGAGAGAAGAUUAAAACCUUCUCCCAAAUGGAGAAGAGCAAAGAUUGGGCAGAAAGGCAGAGAAUUAGUAUAGCUGGGUUGUCCUUUGCCUGGAUGCCAGCACCCCCAAAUCUCCUGGCUGAGGGCAAAGCAGGGGGUGGACACAACUAACUCCCAUUAAGUAUAGCUCAUGCCCCGUUUUCUGGUGCAAGCCUGGUGGGCCAGCAGCUUUGUAGAGAAGACUCCCAUGUAGAGUGAAAAGCCCUGACUCCAGGCUUCCGGAAAAUUCAGAGAGAAUGAGGCAGCACACUUAGAGGAAUCUGUGAGCCUGGGUAACAGGGGGCCAUAGAAGUAGGUGCUGCAUUGCUGUCCAGCUAGACAUCAAGUGAGGACCUGGUUACAUUUUUCCUUUAAAUCCCACAGUAGGGUUGAUUUUUAAAACAAAACAAAAUUUUAAAACCCACCUGCCCAUAAAAGCUGAAUAAGAUUUUGCUAAGGUUUAAGAGACAACAAUAGAAAGAUACACGGGCACUCAUCUUAAAGCUAGAUAAUGGGAUUUAUAAUCAGGUUAGAUUCAUAACCAGAAUUCUUCAGCCGGUGGCCCAUGAUGGCACCGAAAUGCUGGAAUGUCACAUGUCGAUGGUACCAUUGAGUCCAUCCCUAGGACCUCAGAAUUGGAUCGCUACACUGCUUAAUGUCUAGUCUCUCUCCCGUUUAGGUAAUAUCCAGUCUUGUUUCUCAAGUGAAGGGCAACAGGGAUUGCCUUGACUUCAGAAGAAACAUCAAGCCCUUACCAAAGGGAAUAUAGCAAAGCAUUCUCUCUGUGGAACCCCUGGGAACAAGUGGAAGAGACACUGGUCUCUUCUCUCCAUGAGGGUUAUCUCUGGAGGUAACAGGGUAACAGUUAUUAGAGGUAAAGUGGUCCCUUUAGUACACUAACAGGUGUACUUUCCUGUGACCCAAUGUGAUAGUGCUUAGAAACCCAGGCACAAAACAACAGGGCCAGGUAAGGAUAUUAUUUGUUUCUUAAACAAGAAUGUAGCAUGCAUUGUUCCCCAAAAAGUGAUGUCCAUCCUCAGGAACUUGUGCCUUAUCUCCUGAAAGAAGCCAGGUGACUUUUGUAGACAUAGUUGUUCUAGCGUGUCAAAGACUUAAAGAACCAGACAUGCAUGAACUACUCAGGGUGGGAUUCUUGAAGGAAAUCCAUCAUCGUAGAGACCUAUACUCACACUAACCCAAGGAUCAGCAACUGCAGAGCACUUCCGCCUUCAGACUCAACAUGCACUACUGGCUCGGUCCGUUUUCUGCUGCCAUGAUAGAAUAUCCAGAACUUGGGUAAUUUAUAAAGAAAAGGGGUUUAUUUUGGCUCACAGUUCUGGAGACUGGGAAGCCUAGUAUCAGGUGACUGCAUCUGUUGAGGGUCUUGUGCCCCUGAAGCUGAAAGAAACAAUGGGCUCUUGUCGAAGAGGAAAACAGCAGAGCAGCCCUGCUUCACAGCAUUCUCUCAAUAUCUAGUCCAGUCCUUCUAGAAAGACACUAAUCCCCUUUCGAGGCUUAUCACUUCUUAACAGCCACACCUCCCUACACUACCGCCCUGGCAGUCAAAUUCAAAUGAGCUCUGGAGGGGACAAACUGUAUUCAAACCAGAGCCCCAGGGACCACCCACCCCAUUAGCCAGUGUGAUUUAGACCUGGCACCUAUGUGACUGGUCAGGGCAGAGCAGAUGGGGACAGGUGAGGAGGUCCCUCCUGGGAAUGAGAUUCCCUAGAGCGAGGGGUCUCCUGAAAGGCAUAGGUGGGAUUCCUAUAAGGAGUUGAAAGAGCAACCUGUAUGUCCACGGACAGAUGAGUGAACAAAGAAAAUGUGCCUUUAGACACCAUGGAGUCCUACUCUGCUAUGGAGAAAGAUAAGCUUGAGUCAUCUGUAGGAAAAUGGGUGCAUUUUGAGAUCGUAGUGUUAAGUGACAUAAAUCAGACACACAAUUUAAAUAUUAAAUGGUUUCUUUUAUAUGAGAACCCCAAAGUAUAAAUAGAUUAAAGCAUUAAAUGAAAUACAGAUAAAAGAAAACAGGAAAGUAAAUCUUUUGCAAAUGGGAAGUGGACUAAAAGAUUGGGGCAGAUGUAAAAAGAAUUAAGAUGUGUUAUGUACAGGCACCAACUGCCCACAACAAAUACAGUCGAUGUGUCCUGCAAACAUGGACUAAUAAAAAUUACAAAAGAGUUGAAAAAGGGCCUGAGGAAGAAAAUGGGGACAAAGGGAAUGGGGUUGGCACUGGGGAGUUCCCUCAAAAGUACCUUUGGCAAAAGGCCCAGUUUUAAAAACUGAUUUCUGUCUUAGAACCUGGGAGAAAACAAGUUGUCCAAAACUUUAGCCAUUCCCCUCACGCAGUGAAAUGCCCUUCGAAUGUGUCCCAGCUCCUGAGCUGACUGAACGGCUGACAGGACCGGGUGGUGAAGAAGGGAGGAACGGCCUCCUCCCUGCCCCCAGUGAGGUCCCAGCCUCGUGGGAGACAUAGCCAUGCUUGCCAAGGAACUCUGACCCAGAAACUCAGAGCACGGCCGCAGUCCUGUGUGAGACAAAGGGAAAAGGCCACACACCAUGGAGGAGCCCGGAGAGCCCCAGGAAGAACGCAACAGUGACGGCUGAUAGCGCAGAGCUGGCCUCAUCUGGCUGCAUUCCUACAGCUGGCGGCUCGGGGAGUUGGGUGUCCAGGGUCCUCUGCGCACAGGGCCCGGCCUCAGCCAGGACUGCUGGGAAGCCUGACAGACUGGCAGGGCCAGACAGGCCCCUGCAUGCCGGACUGCAGGCAGCUGCACACAGGUGCUCAGGGAGGGCUUCCCCGAGAGGUGCCCUUUGAACCGAGGUCUUUCUAGGAAUGGAAAGCAGCAUUGGUAAACAGAAGGGAAGGGGUGGAAAAAGAAGGAGAAUAAUUUGUAGGAAAGUGUCAAAAUAGCCAGACACGGUGGGGCCUUCUUGGAGUCCCAGCACUCUGGGAGGCCAAGGCAGGAGGAUUACAAGUUUAAGCCUUGCCAGGUGUGAUGACGCACACCUGUGAUCCCAGGAUUUGGGGCGCUGAGGCUACAUGGUGAGUUCAGGGCCAGCUGGAAGCACAUAGCAAAAGCCUGGCUCAAAAAACCAAGUUCAAACCAAGCCUGGAUAAUCUAGUGACUUGGCAAGAUUCUGUCUCAAAAAUAAAAAAUUUUAAAAGGGCUGGUGAUUUAGCUCAGGGUGAAGGCCCUGGGUUCAAUUCCCAGUACCACAAAAACCAAAAACCACUGUGAAGUAGAAGGAAGUAGGGUAGUUUCUAGGAAAAAUGAAAAGAAUGAAAUCAGUUUGGCUACUAAAUGGGGUAAAAGAAAAACAGUGUGUUUCCCAGGCCCUGUGUGUUCAAGGAGCUAUGGAUUUUUAAUUUUUUUUUGUACUAAGAAGAAUGGGAAGCUAUUUAAAUGUUUUAAGUGACAUGAUCUGAUUUGCCUUUUGUUUGUUUGUUUUGUGGUACUGCACAUUGAACCCAGGGCAUUUGCACUGAGCUACAUCCCAAGAUCUUUUUUUAAGUGUUUUCUUCUUCUUCUUUUUUGGUUCCAGGGAUCAGACUCAGGACCUUGCCCUUGCGCGGCAGGCCCCAGAAUUACUGAGCUAAAUCCUCAGCCCAAGCGUUUUCUUCUUGAGACAGGGUUUUGCUAAGUCUCCAGCUUGCUUGGUUAGAACCUGAGAUCCUCCUGCCUCAGCCCCCAAGAGUGCACCACUACACCCAGCUUCGAGCUGCUUUUUAAAGAAUAGCCAUAGUUAUGCAUGUGAGGUAUUUCAGGGGACCGGAAGCAAGGCUUCUCAGCCUCAGCACACUGACAUUUUGAGUCAGAUGAUUGUUUACAGCAUCGCAGGGGACCUGGCAGCAUCCCUGGCCUCACCUCACUAGAUGGGAGCAGCACCUCCUUUCUUGAGAUUGUGGGAAAACCCUGUGUCUCCACACUGCCAAUCACCACCUCGAGAGCCGCAGCCUUCCUGGUUGUGAACCACGGCACCAGGCAAAACCAGGGAUUCUCUGUUCCCUUUCACACUCAUCCGUGGGAGAAGGAACCAUCACUUGGACUUGGGUGAUUAGGGUGGAGCUGGGGUAAGCAGCUGGCAUUUGAGCAAAGAGAAAGUGAGCUGAACAGCGUCUGAGUGGACAGAUCCAUCACAGCAGACCAGGCUUUGCCUCUCUUCUUCACUUCCCUCCUUCAGCAUUCUGUCUGCUCUGAGAAAAGAAUUUGGUCUCCUUUGUGUUGGGAAAUACUCAUAGUCGGGGCGGGGAGGCGGGGGUCAGAUAUCACGAGAAAUGUACAAUCAAUCCAUCUUUACUCUUCUGAGGUUUGUUGAUGCAACAUUCACGGAGGGUCAGUCUGACCGAGGCAUUGAUUGAAAUCAGCCAAGCAGUGAGUCUUCAGGCCAGUUUUGAAGGAGGGAAGCCCAGAGAAUUAGAGAGCAAAUCCUGAGAAGUGAUAGCCUUGGAGAGAGUUCUAGAAGCAGGCUCUCUAAGUACCUGCCAACAACACUCUAGCAGCAAGAGCUGGCCUAGCCGGCACCUGGCCAUUGGCCACCUGUCUUCUGGAGCUGGUUUGGUCCUUUUCAUGCACAGUGCCCUCUUGUCUUUUCUUUUGCCGCAAAGAAUAAUGACUCUCUAGUCCUCCCCUGGCUGCACGGAAGCAUUGCAAGGAACUGUGGGUUCCCAACCCCAAAACUCUUGAAUUAUCCUAUGAAAGAUCCUGCCCUUGCUACUCCACCCGGAGAGUCUGGUUUUCUGUAAGAAAGGAAAGGUUUCUGUGUCUGCUCCUAGGAAGGAAAAAUAGAAACCAUAGCCCCUUUCAAAUCAAAGUUUUGUCCUUGAGUCAAAGGCACCUCCAGAGUCUCCUGCCAAGAGGAGUGAAAAGCCUUUGUUUGAUUACGUAAAGAGAUCAGAAUUCAUAAAGGUCAUCGUCUCACUCAUGCUGAGUUUGAGAAAUGUGUCCUUUCUCUUCUUCUAACAUGCAGCUGACACUGAAGGCAAAAUUGUCGUUUCAUUUCUACUCUUCCCUUGCUCUUUUUCUUCUGACUUAAUGAAUAUAAUCACCCAAGAGACAGUGGUCAUGUUAUGGGCAUUGUCGUUAAGUUCUCAGCAAUGUAAGCACAUUGAAAUUUAGAAGACAAUGUGAAAAAUGGAAGGUUGAUUCUUUUCUUAAGGGUCAGAAGGCUGUCACCUUUCUAUAGUCUUCCUGGCUUCUCCUGAGAUAAAAGUGACCACGAAUCAUAAUCACAAACACCCCAGCCAGCAGCCCGAACACUCUGACUUAAUAGCAAGGAGAAAAUGCCUCUGUAUAGUAGACCCCAGUUAUGUCUAAGUGACAACAGAAAUGUUAAGAGCACCUUAUAGCAAACAUCACAGCAACAAUAGUUUGCAGACAAGAAACUAAAUAAAUGCCAAAAUCAGUGGGUAAAAGUAUGAUGACAGGAUAUUAUUAUAGACUCACAGUGUAUCCCCACAAGAUUCUUACUGAGUUCGAGGGGAAUAUAUUACAUUUACAGUGGAGAAAUCUGUGAUGGAGUUAACAAUGUAACUAGUAUUGAAAGAUGUCUAUGUCAUGUCUUCCCUUAUGUGACAGACUGUGGUAUUCUUGCUCAAAUUCAUAACCUUGAAUUUAAUCACAAGGAAACAACAGACAAGUCACUACUGAAUCGCAUGUUGCCAAGUUCAAUAGACAUUCCUGGUUGUACCCAACUUAUCAGUGUUGUGUAAUAUUGAGUUUGCAAACUCAAGGGCUCUCGCUUGCUGGGGAGGCACGGCACCUCUGAGCUACAUCCCUGCCUCUUAUGUAAUAUUGUUAAAUACUCUUCAAAAAUUUUUUUAUUUAUCUUGCAGUACUAGGGAUUGAACCCAGUCUUUCUCACUGAGCUACAUGUUCAUCUCUUUUUAAAUAUUUUUUUAAAUUUUAAGACUGGGUCUUGCUAAGUCCCUAUGUUGUCCAGACUGGACUUGAACUUGGGAUCCUCCUGCCUCAGCCUCCCAGAGUGCUAGGGAUAUAGGCAUGGCCACUAUGGCUGGCUGAGCAUCGAUUCUUGACUCACUUUCUUCUUUUUUUCUCUAGGACACAACUUCCUUUGCUCUACUCGAACUGUACAGAAUGCUUCCUCUCAGCCAACUCUUGUGAUUUCUUUCCAUCUUCCCAACCUCUGAAGCAACUCCUCAAAUGAACUUAUCCACGUCCUGUGGCUUUUGGGGGAUAAGAAUGCAGCUCUCACAUCCUCACUCCACGUAGCAGGGAUCAAAAAGGAGAGUACAGGGCCGGGGAUUUAGCUCAGUGUUUCCACCGCCUGCCUCGCGAGGAAGGGCAAGGUCCAGAGUUCGAUCCCAGGUACAAAAAAAAAAAAGAGUAUAGCACCCAAAGCCCCAACACACACACACACACACCCAGAGCCCGGAUGUAGUCACAUGGGCACUUUACUGUCAGGGGCAGUGAUCGUGUAACAAGUUGCAAACAAGGGCUCCGUAAUUGUCACAUAAGAGAAGAACAGACAUUACAAAAUAAUUAGUAGACGCUUCUAUAACUAAUAACUCUUCUUACACCCUCAGUGUAACAAGGGCAGAAGUCAGUUGGAUCCAGACUACAAGUAGCAGAUUAUCCUGAGCUUCAUCAGAUGCCCAGCGCACAGAGAACACGAAAGGCAGUGGGCGCUUAUCUGACACGGACUCAGCCCCGGCACAGUGUCCACACAGGAGGUCGUGUUUGGCACUGGGCUGGCAUUUCACGUGCAGAGCCCUUUGUCAUCGUCUCAUAACCCAUGGGGGUCAGCCUGGCCACCACCCUGACUUGACCUGCAGUCGGGAAGGACCAGGGAGAACAGAGCUGCUUUGGUGUGUCUGCCACCCCUGGGACAGAACUGAGGGAGUUGAUGGGGAUCCACCCGGUAGGGAAAAUCACAAAUAAUAAUCACGUACCCACUUUGCCUGGGAGGAAUGGCCUGAAGUAAGGGUUUAUGCCAUUUUCUUCCAUCCUUCCUUCCUCCUUCCCUUCCUUCCCUCUCUUCUGUUUGCUUUCUUCUUUCCACCUAGCCAGCCUGCCUGCCUUCUGGCCUUCUCUUUCUUCCUCUCUGCUCCCCCUCCUCCCUCUCCCUCACUUUCUUUUUACCUAUCUAUCAUGCAAAAACUUGAGCCAGAUGGUAGGCAUUAAUGAUUGAGGAUUUAUAACAAUUACAG